AGGGGCAUAGCUCAGUGGUAGAGCACAUGCUUGGCACACACAAGGUCCAGGGUUCAAUCCCCAGUGCCUCUG
rnacentral:tRNA from 1 species